rnacentral:snoRNA from 1 species
GGUCUGUGAUGGGUGUUGGCGUGUAUUAUCGGAGCAUAAAUCCGAAGAUGGUCAGUUCAGUUGAGCUCUAGAAUGACUCCGAGACCUG